GAUGAACGCUGGCGGCGUGCCUAAUACAUGCAAGUCGAGCGAACGGACGAGAAGCUUGCUUCUCUGCUGUUAGCGGCGGACGGGUGAGUAACACGUGGCUAACCUACCUAUAAGGCUGGGAUAACUUCGGGAAACCUGAGCUAAUACCGGAUAAUAUUUUGAACCGCAUGGUUCAAAAGUGAAAGCCGUUCUUGCUGUCACUUAUAGAUGUAUCCGCGCUGCAUUAGCUAGUUGGUAAGGUAACGGCUUACCAAGGCAACGAUGCAUAGCCGACCUGAGAGGGUGAUCAGCCACACUGGAACUGAGACACGGUCCAGACUCCUACGGGAGGCAGCAGUAGGGAAUCUUCCGCAAUGGGCGAAAGCCUGACGGAGCAACGCCGCGUGAGUGAUGAAGGUCUUCGGAUCGUAAAACUCUGUUAUUAGGGAAGAACAUAUGUGUAAGUAACUGUGCACAUCUUGACGGUACCUAAUCAGAAAGCCACGGCUAACUACGUG
rnacentral:rRNA from 1 species